AUGUUUAACUCUCCUCUUAGAGCGAACCCUCCUGGUACAACAGCAGCGACAACAAAAAAAACUAAUACCGUCAAAUCUCAGAAGCCAGUGGCUGUGGCAGCAGCUUCUGCUGCAUCUACUGCAGAUCCACCUGUCACAAAAGACAAAACUCCCAAAACUGAUGCUAUUAUUGUGGCUAAAGCAGAGGAAAGUAUUGGUACAAGCAAUAAUGAAGUAUGUUUGGAAGAGAGUGUUGGUGAAGGAAAGGUGAAUGCUGAUACAGCUGCAACUAAAGUUACUGCAGUUCCCAAAGACCUUACAGUUGCUAAUGGAGAAACCGCUACUCCUGAGAAUAAAGCAAAGAAGGAUACACAAGCUGUUAAUGAAACUGUCAUGGGGACCCUUGAGACUGAAUCUGUGAAAAAAGAGCGUGAAGCUGGAUCCUCAGUUCCCAUGACAGAAUCUAAGAGUGAGAACAAGGAGCUAGAAACUGGAUCCUCUGUUCCCUCUUCAGAAUCUGCUGUUUCAGCUGAGUCAGGGAAAGCAGAGAUUAAAGUUGAAUCAUCUGUCUCUGCUUUAGAAUCUGCUGUUUCAGUUGAAUCUCCAAACAACAAACAUGAAUUGGGAUCCUCUGUUCCUGCUACAGAAUCUGGAAAAACAGAGCUUGAAGUUGCAUCCGCUGUUUCCACUUCAGAAUCUGAAGUUUCAGUUGAGUCUGGGAAAACAAAGCCUGAUAUUGCAUCCUCAGUUCCCUCAGGAGAAUGUGCUGUUCCAGUGGAUUCUGCAAAAGCAGGGCAUGAAUUGGCUUCCUCGGAAACUUCCAUUUUAGCAGACACAACCGAUCAGACAGGGACUUCGCUCAAGAAAAAUGAUCAGAGUGUGCUGCAGUCUGAAGAUGUCCCCAAAGAAUUGCUUCCUACAUCUGUGGAAGAAGGCAAAAUUGACAGUGAAAUGUUAGCAGACGACAAUAAUGUUGAGUCUAAGUCACAAAUGGAGAUUGUCGCUUCAACUGUUAGCAGUGAGGAAACCGCAGUAGAGGCCAUGGAGACCCAGAGUCCAGAAGAAUCUACCAAAGGCACUGAUGUGAAAGAGGAAUUUUUGGAAACGCAUGAGCUCAAGAUAGAAAAUGAGGGCCAAGCCAGUGAACUUUGA
rnacentral:lncRNA from 1 species